UCAACUUCAUAUUUCAUCUACUACAGUCUGAUUGCAAUUACUUUGCAAGUAUGGCCACACAAAUUCAUGAUAUCAAACAAAUAUCAUCCAACUCGAUGCAAUGGAAUCUCAAAGUUAGAGUGGUUCGAAUGUGGAUAAUUCCUCGCUUUAACCCGCAAAUACCGUUUUCAAUUGAAUUGGUUUUACAUGAUUCUAAGGGUGAUCGUAUACAUGCUACAAUCGGAAAGUAUGUUCUUAAGUUUUUUAGGAACAAGAUACAUGAACUUCGCUUAUAUCGUAUGAACUACUUUGUAGUCGGACCAAAUAAUUUGAAGUUGAGGACUACGACACACAAGUUGAAGCUGACAUUUACUCAAAAGACAUUUGUCGAGGAAACAAAUGAUCAUUCAUUUCAUAUGAACAUCUUUAACUUGCGCCCUUUUCACCAACUAACAAAUGAACAUGAUGUCGAUGAGACAGAAUUACUCGAUGUUGUUGAUCAGGUUGUGACCUAUGAAGAUGUUAAGACCUACAAUCAGGGAGACGACCAAAGUUUCCUUAUUAAUGUUGUACUCGAAGAUGAUCAGAUUAUGGCAACAUUAUGGAGUAAACUUGUGGAUCAAAUUCAACAUCACUUGAAUGAAUCUGCCGAUGAGCCUUUGAUUGUUGUUUUCUAGCAUAUGAAACCUCAAAAAUAUCGAGGUUUACCAUAAAUUACAUUGCGUAGCUGUUGGUAUCAGACAAAGAUAUGGAUAAAUUCUACGUUGCCGCAGUCUAUUGAAUUUAAAUCCAGAUUACUUGCAGCACGUCAAUCAAACAUUGAGUGAAUCACUCGAACAAGUUCUCAACAAAGUUACUCUGUUAAAGAUGAGUUAGACAAAGGAUUUGUACUGUUUAAAACUAUUAGGGAUUUAGUUCAGUGCACGCAAGAAUCCAGCUAUUGGAUUGCGGCAAAAUUGGUUAAUUUGGAACUUGACCGAGGAUGGUCAUACUUGACAUGCAACAAGUGUAGUCGAAAGGUGGAAAAAGUUGGAAAUAAAUACUUUUGUGCCAAAUGCAAUGAAGAAGAGUCUUCUGUUACUCACAGGUAUAGGCUUCAAGUUCGUGUUAUGGAUGGAACCGUUUUUAUCUCAUUGUUGCUUUGGAAUCGCGAAGCUAUGCAACUUAUAGGAAGUCCGCAAAAGAACUUAAGGAAAGAUUAGUUGAGGUAUACUACUAAAUUUA